rnacentral:rRNA from 1 species
CUUCGGCAGAUUUAGCUGGUUUCUAGUGGCGGGCGGGUGAGUAACGCGUGGGUAACCUGCCUUAUACAGGGGGAUAACAGUCAGAAAUGACUGCUAAUACCGCAUAAGCGCACAGGACCGCAUGGUCCGGUGUGAAAAACUCCGGUGGUGUGAGAUGGACCCGCGUCUGAUUAGCUAGUUGGCAGGGCAACGGCCUGGCCAAGGCGACGAUCAGUAGCCGACCUGAGAGGGUGACCGGCCACAUUGGGACUGAGACACGGCCCAAACUCCU